rnacentral:lncRNA from 1 species
UUGACAAAGUCGGUGAAAUUUUUUGUGGGAUUGCCAUCUAGCUGGACUCUAAAAGUUGCACAAGUGCCUGAAUUCUCAUUCUAGAGGUAAUUAUUGAACUGGAGAAGAUAUUGUGUCUCAUUUUUGUCUAAGAUGCCCUUUUGUAGGGAUUGUACUUUCUAUUCAAAUUUAGUUUUCUCUUGCAUUAUUUGUGAAAUUCAUUUAUGUUUGGAGCUCAAUUUUACUGAACUUGUACCUGAAUUGACGUUUGAUAUUCAAACCAGCAAUAUUUUCGGGAGAGGUGCAACUAUAUAGUGGAAGACCCUAAACCACUAUUCUUCAAGCUACUAUCAAACCAUUUCAGGUCAGUUAUGUCACUUUUUCUGUUCUAUGAUGUGACUUAAUAUUUCUAAUGGGCAAUCUCAAUACUGAUUGUGACAUACAUGACCAGAUUGAUUUCAAGUUAAUUAAACCUUGGUAAUGCACAUUCCAUAAUAUUGCUUUAUAGCAUGUUAAUCAUAUUUCUCUCUCGAACUCUAAUUUACAUGGGGAACAAAAUGUCUUCUGAACUAGGGAAUGUGAAGAAGGGGCUGUAGUCAAGAUAAAGAGGAGGGUAGGUAGUGAUAGUGGUGUUGAUUGC